rnacentral:rRNA from 1 species
CAGCAGCCACGGUAAUACAGAGGGUGCGAGCGUUAAUCGGAUUUACUGGGCGUAAAGCGUGCGUAGGCGGCUUCUUAAGUCGGAUGUGAAAUCCCUGAGCUUAACUUAGGAAUUGCAUUCGAUACUGGGAAGCUAGAGUAUGGGAGAGGAUGGUAGAAUUCCAGGUGUAGCGGUGAAAUGCGUAGAGAUCUGGAGGAAUACCGAUGGCGAAGGCAGCCAUCUGGCCUAAUACUGACGCUGAGGUACGAAAGCAUGGGGAGCAAACAGGAUUAGAGACCCCUAUAGUCCCUGUCUCUUAUAA